AUAAAACAUAAACAUGCCUAUCAAUACCACUACAGUGCUCAAUUCCAUUGGCACUCCUCUUGAAUAAAUUGCAUGAAAAAUGGGGAUGAUAAGCCACACAAGCAACCAUUGUCCAGUCGUAGAGAAUUACGAUUGAAAAGCAUUGCAGGUGUGUGUUUUGUGUGUAAAACACUGCAGGUAAAAUUUGUAAUUUUGUUUGGAAGAAAGAAUGGAAGAAUGUGGGAAGAUAGAAGAAACUUUGUUUGUUUGAUCGAAAGAGAUGAGGAAACUAUAAGGGAUGAAACAUCACCUUAACCUAUUUUUUAGGAAGUCUUUUAUCCGUCUAAAAUUGAGUGAAAGAGAAGAGAGAAAACCAAAAAAAAAAAAAAAAAAAUUAGAGAGUUA